UCUUUUUUGGCAGAAAUAUUGCAAAAGACUUAGAAUCUUACCAACCCAAA
rnacentral:tRNA from 1 species